CGGGUGAGUAACACGUGAGUAAUCCACCCUUGGUACCGGGAUAGCUCGGGGAAACUCGAAUUAAUACCGGAUAGCCCAUGAGCUUUUCGAAGCGAAUGGAAAAGGUAGCUUCGGCCUCCGACCAAGGACGAGCUCGCGGCGGAUUAGCUUGUUGGCGGGGUAAUGGCCCACCAAGGCGACGAUCCGUAGCUGGUCUGAGAGGACGAUCAGCCACACUGGGACUGAGACACGGCCCAG
rnacentral:rRNA from 1 species